GGUCUUGUGGUCUAGUGGUAUGAUUCUCGCUUAGUACGUAUCUUCUAGCAAAUCGUGUUGGAAAUGAGAACUAACAUAUCUAGGGGUUCACCCCGAGCAUAGCUUGCGAGAGGCCCCGCGUUCGAGUCGCGGCAAGACCC